rnacentral:lncRNA from 1 species
UCACUGGAGAAAAUAUACUGCUCCAUACUUAUGUUCCUGGUUGUUACAUUCAGCGAACAUUUAUUGAGCAUUUAUUAUUUUCCAGGCAGCAUGGCUGGGAAUACAGAUACUGAAAUAUACAGUCAUUGGCCUCAAGAAACUCACAUUCUAGUGGAGAGAAAGACAAGUAAAAAGAUGUUUAUGAAUCUGUGGUAAGUGCUUAAGUGGAGCCACACCUAACAUAGUUGGAGGAAGAACUGGGGGUCAGAUAAAGGGUUUGGAUGAAGAAGAAGAUGUGUUAGACAAAUCUUGAAAGACCAGAGAGCCAUAGUCUGCUGAGGAAGACGAAGUAGGUAUUCCAGGAGUUUGGGCUCAGAUAUUUCUCUACUUUGUGACUAUUUGGAACUUGGGUAGGGGCUGAAGAAGAAUCACAAGAAGUUUUUAAUGGCUUCAUGGAGGAGGAGUCUCAUCCUUGAGGGGGCUGUUCCAGUUGUGAAAUGGAAAUGGUGGAGAGCCAUAACAGCAGAAGGGGUUAUGAGAUCAGAGAUAAUGGAUGUUUCAAUGGCAAUCCACUUGUGUGGAUCAGACCCCUCCACAUUAACCAUCAGAGCCACAGUCCCCAGUGCCUUGACACUACAUAUAACUUGGAAAAGGGAAGUUGGAAAUACAAUGAUGGCUGAAGCUUCAGCAGUCAUUUUAGACUAUGGAAUGCCCUUGAGGAUGGGUAAUAAUUGCUGGAAUGAUGGAAGAAAAUAAUGAUGAUUGUAGGUUGAGUAGACUCAUUCAAGCUGAUUCUUCUACUUUGAAAUCUGACUAACUAGGUGAUCUGAACAAGUUAACAGCUCUGAGGUUGAGUUUCCCCAACUGGAGAAUGGGAAUGAAAUUCCUUUCCUUUUAGACCUGGUAAGAAGGUUAAAUGUGUUAAUGUGUAGGGGAUGGUAGAAGCUCAGUUCCUGCAUGGAGGCUCCCCACCUCCCUGUUUAUGGAAGGCCAUCUGGUUGCUAUCAAAAUAUGCAGUCUUCUGAGAAAUGUAUUUGUUUGUCCAAAACAAAC